ACUCCUACGGGAGGCAGCAGUAGGGAAUCUUCCACAAUGGGCGCAAGCCUGAUGGAGCAACACCGCGUGAGUGAAGAAGGGUUUCGGCUCGUAAAGCUCUGUUGUUAAAGAAGAACACGUAUGAGAGUAACUGUUCAUACGUUGACGGUAUUUAACCAGAAAGUCACGGCUAACUACGUGCCAGCAGCCGCGGUAAUACGUAGGUGGCAAGCGUUAUCCGGAUUUAUUGGGCGUAAAGAGAGUGCAGGCGGUUUUCUAAGUCUGAUGUGAAAGCCUUCGGCUUAACCGGAGAAGUGCAUCGGAAACUGGAUAACUUGAGUGCAGAAGAGGGUAGUGGAACUCCAUGUGUGGCGGUGGAAUGCGUAGAUAUAUGGAAGAACACCAGUGGCGAAGGCGGCUACCUGGUCUGCAACUGACGCUGAGACUCGAAAGCAUGGGUAGCGAACAGGAUUAGAUACCCUGGUAGGAUAGCG
rnacentral:rRNA from 1 species